rnacentral:sRNA from 1 species
CCCUAGCCCCGAUAGAAACGGCAUCCUUUUUUGUCAUUGCGGUGGCGAAAAGUUUAACUUAUUAUCUCAGUUGUCCGCAAUGACAAAAAAGAUACAGUGGAUAGCGGGAUUAGCU